AUAACUGGUCUAAAGAACGAACCUUUGUCACGAGCCUAGGUUGACUCCGACACUAUCCAUUGGUUCCUCCCAGUUUCGUUGAGCGCUCUGGUUAAAAAACGGGCCUUCUCGUAUUCUUUGCGUCUACAUUCACUCCAUUAUACUCAACUCCCCUGUCUCGUACUUACCCUAAAAAUUGAGAGAAUUGGGGUUUUGUGCUCAAUCCAUGGAAGCAUCAGGAGCUGCAAACCCUUUUCGCACAUCAAGUGCAAACGAUCCGAGCGAUGAAGAGAUAAAUGUAUACUUCAAGAUUUUGAAAACUGUCGGUUUCAAAGUUAAGAGAUCUGAGACCAUUGACAAUCUCAAGAAGCGUUUACGUGAAAUUGAAGGCAUCGCUGAAAAUCUUCAAGAGUUCUUCUUUGCAGGAAAUCGGCUCAGUAAUGGACAGAGGCUAGUUGAUUCUGGUAUUCAUGAGAACUCCAGUAUUGAUUUAAUUGUCCAGAACGUUGUCUUAAUGAAAAUAUUUGUCAAGAUAGCAUCAAAUCAAAAGACAUUCAGUGUGGAAGCAAGGGCUCAGGAUAGAGUCCAAUAUGUUAAGUCCCUGAUUCAUGCGAAGGAGGGUUUCCGACCUGAUCAGUUCACUCUUGUCUAUGAUGGAAAACUGCUAGACGACGAUAGAACUUUGGCCUCCCUCAACAUGAGAAAUGAGUCAACCCUCUAUUUAAUUUUCUGUCCAAAAGAUGUGUUGUCAAUUUUUGUGAAAGCACCAACUGGAGAGAUUGUGAAACUUGAAAUAAAAGCUCAGUUUACUGUCCGUGACAUCAAAGAAGUUAUCGCGAGCAUGAUAGGUGUGCCAGUCAUUGAUCAGGAUUUGUACUUUUCAGGGGAACGGCUUGAGAAUUGCAAGACACUGGCUUUUUAUAACAUAUUUGAGGAAUCGGCCUUGGAGAUCCGACCUCCUUCAUUUCAGAUAUUUGUCAAACCUUGGAGUGGGAACUCCAUUAUUAUUGAUGUUUUUCCAUUUGAUACUAUUGAGAACGUGAAGCAAAAGGUUUCCCAGAAGGUGAUGAUUCCUGAAAAGUAUCAAUCUCUUGUGUUUGCUGGAAAACGGCUUGAGGAGCAUCGGGAUUUAGCAAGUUACAAGAUCCAGAGGCACUCUACUCUCAAUGUGGUUAUGACACUCUUAGCAUGUAAGAUGAGUUUGAUGGACAUUGGACGUUCUGAACGAGUUAGUAUUCGUGAUUUGAAGGCCACCAUCAAAGAGAAAAUGGGUUUCACAGUGAAGACAGUUGUGUACAAGCUGUUGGCACUGGACGAUGAGCGUACACCAUCAUCUUAUGGAAUCUCCAUUUAUGAUGAGUUGGUCUAUUUGUUUUAGUGGGUGUUAAUCUAUGUUAUUAUCCACCUUCAUCUGAUUCCUUAUCUGGGCUGUGUUCGUUGCAAAUUGUGCACAGGUCUGAUGUAUGAUAGCUGAUUAGGGCAGUGUUGAGAUAUAGGUGUGUAGUUAGGCUGAAACUAUUCAUGUUCUCCUUUGCGGUACAUCAAGAACUUGGAGUGUGCAUCGCUAGUUUUCAUCACAAGGUAAUCUUUCUCUGGUUAAUGACAUUGAUAUGGAAGGUUUCUUGAUAGUGACAUUGAUAUUGAAUUCAUUUGAUUGUAUCUUUUCCAUCGACGAG